rnacentral:rRNA from 1 species
GCAGGCCUAACACAUGCAAGUCGAGCGGUAGCACAGAGAGCUUGCUCUCGGGUGACGAGCGGCGGACGGGUGAGUAAUGUCUGGGAAACUGCCUGAUGGAGGGGGAUAACUACUGGAAACGGUAGCUAAUACCGCAUAAUGUCGCAAGACCAAAGUGGGGGACCUUCGGGCCUCAUGCCAUCAGAUGUGCCCAGAUGGGAUUAGCUAGUAGGUGGGGUAACGGCUCACCUAGGCGACGAUCCCUAGCUGGUCUGAGAGGAUGACCAGCCACACUGGAACUGAGACACGGUCCAGACUCCUACGGGAGGCAGCAGUGGGGAAUAUUGCACAAUGGGCGCAAGCCUGAUGCAGCCAUGCCGCGUGUGUGAAGAAGGCCUUCGGGUUGUAAAGCACUUUCAGCGGGGAGGAAGGCGAUAAGGUUAAUAACCUUGUCGAUUGACGUUACCCGCAGAAGAAGCACCGGCUAACUCCGUGCCAGCAGCCGCGGUAAUACGGAGGGUGCAAGCGUUAAUCGGAAUUACUGGGCGUAAAGCGCACGCAGGCGGUCUGUCAAGUCGGAUGUGAAAUCCCCGGGCUUAACCUGGGAACUGCAUUCGAAACUGGCAGGCUAGAGUCUUGUAGAGGGGGGUAGAAUUCCAGGUGUAGCGGUGAAAUGCGUAGAGAUCUGGAGGAAUACCGGUGGCGAAGGCGGCCCCCUGGACAAAGACUGACGCUCAGGUGCGAAAGCGUGGGGAGCAACAAGGAUUAGAUACCCUGGUAGUCCACGCCGUAAACGAUGUCGAUUUGGAGGUUGUGCCCUUGAGGCGUGGCUUCCGGAGCUAACGCGUUAAAUCGACCGCCUGGGGAGUACGGCCGCAAGGUUAAAACUCAAAUGAAUUGACGGGGGCCCGCACAAGCGGUGGAGCAUGUGGUUUAAUUCGAUGCAACGCGAAGAACCUUACCUGGUCUUGACAUCCACAGAACUUUCCAGAGAUGGAUUGGUGCCUUCGGGAACUGUGAGACAGGUGCUGCAUGGCUGUCGUCAGCUCGUGUUGUGAAAUGUUGGGUUAAGUCCCGCAACGAGCGCAACCCUUAUCCUUUGUUGCCAGCGGUUCGGCCGGGAACUCAAAGGAGACUGCCAGUGAUAAACUGGAGGAAGGUGGGGAUGACGUCAAGUCAUCAUGGCCCUUACGACCAGGGCUACACACGUGCUACAAUGGCAUAUACAAAGAGAAGCGACCUCGCGAGAGCAAGCGGACCUCAUAAAGUAUGUCGUAGUCCGGAUUGGAGUCUGCAACUCGACUCCAUGAAGUCGGAAUCGCUAGUAAUCGUAGAUCAGAAUGCUACGGUGAAUACGUUCCCGGGCCUUGUACAC